CUCAGUAACGGCGAGUGAAGCGGUAACAGCUCAAAUUUGAAAUCUGGCCUCACGGUCCGAGUUGUAAUUUGUAGAGGAUGCUUCGAGCAUGGUCUGGCCUAAGUUCCUUGGAACAGGACGUCAUAGAGGGUGAGAAUCCCGUAUGCGGCCAGGUGCCUACGCUCAUGUGAAGCUCCUUCGACGAGUCGAGUUGUUUGGGAAUGCAGCUCAAAAUGGGUGGUAAAUUUCAUCUAAAGCUAAAUAUUGGCCAGAGACCGAUAGCGCACAAGUAGAGUGAUCGAAAGAUGAAAAGCACUUUGGAAAGAGAGUUAAACAGUACGUGAAAUUGUUGAAAGGGAAGCGCUUGCAACCAGACUUGCGCGCGGCCGAUCAUCCGGUGUUCUCACCGGUGCACUCGGCCGUGCUCAGGCCAGCAUCGGUUUUGGCGGCUGGAUAAAGGCCCUAGGAAUGUAGCUCCUCUCGGGGAGUGUUAUAGCCUAGGGUGCAAUGCAGCCUGCUGGGACCGAGGACCGCGCUUCGGCUAGGAUGCUGGCGUAAUGGUUGUAAGCGGCCCGUCUUGAAACACGGACCAAGGAGUCUAACAUCUAUGCGAGUGUUUGGGUGUCAAACCCAUACGCGUAAUGAAAGUGAACGGAGGUGAGAACCCUUAAGGGUGCAUCAUCGACCGGUCCUGAAGUUUACGGAAGGAUCUGAGUAAGAGCAUAGCUGUUGGGACCCGAAAGAUGGUGAACUAUGCCUGAAUAGGGUGAAGCCAGAGGAAACUCUGGUGGAGGCUCGCAGC
rnacentral:rRNA from 1 species